AUUGAACGCUGGCGGCAGGCUUAACACAUGCAAGUCGAGCGAGCGGCGGACGGGUGAGUAAUGUCUGGGAAACUGCCUGAUGGAGGGGGAUAACUACUGGAAACGGUAGCUAAUACCGCAUACCAUCAGAUGAACCCAUAUGGGAUUAGCUGGUAGGUAAGGUAACGGCUUACCUAGGCGACGAUCCCUAGCGGGUCUGAGAGGAUGAUCAGCCACACUGGGACGGAGACACGGCCCAGACUCCUACGGGAGGCAGCAGUGGGGAAUAUUGCACAAUGGGCGCAAGCCUGAUGCAGCCAUGCCGCGUGUAUGAAGAAGGCCUUCGGGUUGUAAAGUACUUUCAGUCGGGAGGCGUUACUCGCAGAAGAAGCACCGGCUAACUCCGUGCCAGCAGCCGCGGUAAUUC
rnacentral:rRNA from 1 species